rnacentral:sRNA from 1 species
AAUAGGAAAAGAAGAAAUAUGAGGUGAAUCAGAGGUCUUUUUAAACAGACCCCCAAAGUGGGUUGGAGAUGUCUGAGGGAAGAUUCAUACAAGGUUGUUUGAAAAAUACGUUUGGACCUAGAACAAGACGGCACCGGCCUUACUGAAUCCUGACUGAGCCAAGACUUCCUGGUGGGGCAGCCACACAGAGUCAUGGACGUACUGUCAAUGCCCAGUGGGUGAACUCUUCUGCACAAACUCCCGGCUCACAAGUGUUGGCUUGAGACUCUGUGGUGGAGAUUGUAAACCACCGCCCUCUGUUUUCGCCCAAAGCCUGAGGUUCUACAGUCUUCGUCUUUGAAACGAAGUAAUGAUACCUACAUCCAAGAGAAGAAGAAGCGUGAUUAUUAGUGCAAGGAUGUUUGGAACUCUGAAGGUAUCUGUUUGCCGCUCACUCACAUCUCUAGCCCCAGUCCCGUUGCUUGGGUUUCUUUAGUUGAGAUACUAGGGUUGGGAAAGGGAAGCUGUGGGGACCUGGAAGGACAGCAUGGGGUGAGCAAACCACAGUGAUACAGAUGUAUAUUAUGUCCUAGCAGAACUCGUUAUUCUAUCCGCUAAAAUAAUUAUUUAAAAGGGGCAAAUAUCUAUCCAUUGCUCCCCACUAGGUUCUGAGCCACUCUCGAUGUUGUAGGACACUUAAUGUUUGGUUCUUACACGUGCUAAUUCACUUCCUGUCUGAAAAAGAAAAAACAUACUUAAAACAGAUACUUAUCCUGAACAAUUGACUAUGAACAAUAUUGGGCUUUAAUCGUUGCUUUGCCGACAGGAUAAAUUUUUUUUUGUUUUU